AGCACUUGAAAGUAUACUGGGAACAGUUAAAGAUGGGUGCUGUCUGAGUUUUCCUUGUUUGGAACAUUUAACCAGAAGUGUUUCAGUUUGGGGAGAGUUUCUGGAUUGGAGAAUAUUUUCACAGACAUGACUAUGAAUGCUGAAGCACUUUGAAACCCAAAACCUUUCCAGAUUUUAUAGCAUCUGGGAUUUCCCAUUUUUGUACCAUGAACACUAAGAUCUCUGCCAGAAUAAUACGACAAGAUUUAUAACUAGCAUGUGAUUUUGAACAAUACCAAAGUAAUCAGAAAGAUGGGGAUGCCGUAAGGAAACUGAACCACAGAUGUUAAGUAACUUGCCCAAGUUUAAGCUCUAAAUGGUGGCCCAGCCUGGCUUAGAAGCAAGCUCUCAAGGAUGUCAUCCUGAGUGAGGUAACCCAAUCACAAAAGAACUCACAUGAUAUGCACUCACUGAUAAGUGGAUAUUAGCCCAGAAGCUGGGAAUACCCAAGAUACAAUUCGCAAAACACAUGAAACUCAAGAAGGAAGACCAACGUGUGGAUACUUUGAUCCUUCUUAGAAGGGGGAACAAAAUACCCAUGGAAGGAGUUACAGAGACAAAGUGUAGAGCAGAGACUGAAGGAAUGACCAUCCAGAGACUGCCCCACCUGGGGAUCCAUUCCAUAAACAACUACCAAAACCAGACACUAUUGUGGAUGCCAACAAGAGACUUGCUGACAGGAGCCUGAUAUAGCUGUCUCCUGAGGGGCUCUGCCAGUGCCUGGCAAAUACAGAAGUGGAUGCUCACAGCCAUCCAUUGGAUGGAGCACAGGGUCCCCAAUGAAGGAGCUAGAGAAAGUACCCAAGGAGAUGAAUGGGUUUGCAGCCCCAUAGGAGGAACAACAAUAUGAACAAACCAGUAUCUCCAGAGCUCCCUGGGACUAAACCACCAACCAAAGAAAACACAUGGUGGGACUCAUGGCUCUAGCUACAUAUAUAGCAGAGGAUGACCUAGUUGGUCAUCAAUGGGAGGAGAGGCCCUUGGUCUUGUGAAGGUUAUAUGCCCCAGUAUAGGGGACUGCCAGGACCAGGAAGCAGGAAUGGGUGGGUUGGUGAGCAGGGGGAGGGGAGGAAGGCAUAGGGGUUUUUUGAGGGGAAACUAGGAAAGGGGACUAACAUUUGAAAUGUAAAUAAAAAAUAUCUAAUAAAAAAUAAAAUUAAUUUUUUUAAAAAA
rnacentral:lncRNA from 1 species